UACGUAGGGGGGCAAGCGUUGUCCGGAUUUAUUGGGCGUAAAGAGCGUGUAGGCGGCCAGGUAGGUCUGCUGUGAAAACUCGAGGCUUAACCUCGAGCUGUCGGUGGAAACUGUCUGGCUAGAGUCCGGAAGAGGAGAAUGGAAUUCCUGGUGUAGCGGUGAAAUGCGCAGAUAUCAGGAAGAACACCCGUGGCGAAGGCGGUUCUCUGGGACGGUACUGACGCUGGAGACGCGAAAGCGUGGGGAGCGAACAGG
rnacentral:rRNA from 1 species